rnacentral:rRNA from 1 species
GAUAAACGCUGGCGGCGUGCUUCAGGCAUGCAAGUCGAACGGACACUACGGUGUCAGUGGCGGACGGGUGAGUAACACGUAAGUAACCUGCCCAGAAGUGGGGAAUAACUGGCCGAAAGGCCGGCUAAUACCGCAUGUGAUGGUUCUUCUCUGGAGGGAUCAUUAAAGGAUUUAUUCGCUUCUGGAGGGGCUUGCGGCUGAUUAGCUAGUUGGUGGGGUAAAGGCCUACCAAGGCUCGAUCGGUAGCUGGUCUGAGAGGAUGGUCAGCCACAC